GUUUGAUCGAAAACCUUCAUGAAAUCCAUGACGGAUCUGCGGAAUCUUUGAGUAGCAGGGAAGCUUCAGAUCGUGGUAAAGAAGGAAAUCAGGUGGGCGUGAAGAAAUUACAACUUUCUUUAUAUGUGUGAUGGUGGAGAUAAAAGCCGGAACCGGAAGAACAAACGAGACAACGAAGCAAUUUUGGCUGUGGAAUUUGAUUGUUUAAUUUUAAUUGAAAAUGUU
rnacentral:misc_RNA from 1 species